UACAGAGGUCUCGAGCGUUGUUCGGAUUCAUUGGGCGUAAAGGGUGCGUAGGUGGCGGGGUAAGUCAGGUGUGAAAUCUCGGAGCUCAACUCCGAAACUGCACUUGAUACUGCCUUGCUCGAGUACUGGAGAGGAGAUUGGAAUUUACGGUGUAGCAGUGAAAUGCGUAGAUAUCGUAAGGAAGACCAGUGGCGAAGGCGAAUCUCUGGACAGUUACUGACACUGAGGCACGAAAGCCAGGGGAGCAAACGGG
rnacentral:rRNA from 1 species